rnacentral:rRNA from 1 species
GAUGAACGCUAGCUGCAGGCUUAACACAUGCAAGUCGAGGGGCAGCAUGAACUUAGCUUGCUAAGUUUGAUGGCGACCGGCGCACGGGUGAGUAACGCGUAUCCAACCUUCCGUUUACUCAGGGAUAGCCUUUCGAAAGAAAGAUUAAUACCUGAUGGUAUCUUAAUGACACAUGUAAUUAAGAUUAAAGAUUUAUCGGUAAACGAUGGGGAUGCGUUCCAUUAGGUAGUAGGCGGGGUAACGGCCCACCUAGCCAACGAUGGAUAGGGGUUCUGAGAGGAAGGUCCCCCACAUUGGAACUGAGACACGGUCCAAACUCCUACGGGAGGCAGCAGUGAGGAAUAUUGGUCAAUGGGCGAGAGCCUGAACCAGCCAAGUAGCGUGAAGGAUGACGGCCCUAUGGGUUGUAAACUGCUUUUAUAAGGGAAUAAAGUGAGUCUCGUGAGACUUUUUGCAUGUACCUUAUGAAUAAGGACCGGCUAAUUCCGUGCCAGCAGCCGCGGU